CCUACGUGAGGCAGCAGUGAGGAAUAUUGGUCAAUGGGCGCGAGCCUGAACCAGCCAAGUAGCGUGAAGGAUGACUGCCCUACGGGUUGUAAACUUCUUUUAUUCGGGACGAAACAAAUGACGGUACCGAAUGAAUAAGCCACGGCUAACUACGUGCCAGCAGCCGCGGUAAUAGGUAGGUGGCAAGCGUUAUCCGGAUUUACUGGGUGUAAAGGGCGUGUAGGCGGGUGAGCAAGUCAGACGUGAAAUUCCAGGGCUCAACCCUGGAACUGCGUUUGAAACUGUUCUUCUUGAGUGAUGGAGAGGCAGGCAGAAUUCCGUGUGUAGCGGUGAAAUGCGUAGAUAUACGGAGGAACACCAGUGGCGAAGGCGGCCUGCUGGACAUUAACUGACGCUGAGGCGCGAAAGCGUGGGGAGCAAACAGGAUUAGAUACCCGGGUAGUC
rnacentral:rRNA from 1 species